UGGUCAAUAGCCUAACGGCUGAACCAGCAACUUGGAGGAAUGUAUAGCGAAAGCUAGUUGCAUUUAACUUAGCGAAAGCUAAGUUGAUGCAGGAUUGACUAUGUCAAAUAAAGUUCUAGGUGGGUUAUGAUGAUGACAUUUCCUAUCUAUGUGUCUUGACCAAAUUACGUGCCAGCAGUCGCGGUAACACGUAAAAGACUAGUGUUAUUCAUCUUUAAUAGGUUUAAAGGGUACCUAGACGGUAAAUCAAGUCCAAGAAGGGUACUAAUUUUACUAGAGUUUAAUAUGAGGGGGCACUAAAGUACUGAUAAGUGUAGAGAUGAAAUUCUGUGAUACAAUAUACGGCACUGGUAAAGGCGAAAGCAUCUCAUUAUGUAAUAACUGACGUUGAGGGACGAAGGCUAGGUGUAGCAAAAAGGAUUAGAUACCCAAGUAGUCUUAGCAGAAAAUUAUGAAUGUCAUAGGAUGGAAAGUUGGAUGGACAAACAACAAAUUUUUUUUUCUAUAAAUGAAAGUGUAAGCAUUCCACCUCGAGAGUAAUUUGGCAACAUUGGAACUGAAAUCAUUAGACCGUUUCUGAAACAAGUAGUGAAGUAUGUUGUUUAAUUUGAUGGUCCGCAAAAAACCUUACCACAAUUUGAAUAGAAAAAUUUUUUCAUACAAGCGCUGCACGGUUGUCUUCAGUUAAUGUCGUGAGAUCUUGGUUAGUUCCAUUAAAUUAACGUAAACCCUUACUCUAUUUUUAUAUAGAGUAGUUCACCGCUAGAUUGGAUGUGAUAACAGGGACUAAGACAAGUCAUCAUGGCCUUAAUAUUGUGGGCUAUAGACGUGCCACAUAUGCCUUACAAAGGGAUGCAAAAUUGCGAAAUUGAGCUAAUCCCC
rnacentral:rRNA from 1 species